rnacentral:rRNA from 1 species
UACGUAGGGUGCAAGCGUUGUCCCGGAAUUAUUGGGCGUAAAGAGCUCGUAGGCGGUCUGUCGCGUCUGCUGUGAAAACUCAGGGCUUAACCCUGAGCUUGCAGUGGGUACGGGCAGACUAGAGUGCGGUAGGGGAGACUGGAAUUCCUGGUGUAGCGGUGAAAUGCGCAGAUAUCAGGAGGAACACCGGUGGCGAAGGCGGGUCUCUGGG